GUCGCGAUUAAGUGUAGAACCGCGACAUAUUCCCCUUUAUUACCGUAGUUAAGUGUGGAACCGCGACAUAUUCUCUUGUAGAUUAAAAAAAUAAAACACAUUUGAACAGUAUCUCUCCUUCGCGAAAACUGAUUCAGAGAGCAUUUCUUCCACUGCCGUUGACGACAUACGCCCUUUGCUUCCAUUUUCAAUCGCUUUUCACCGUUUAAACGCAAAUUUUUUCAGUGCAUUUGCCAUUUUCAACGUUGGGGAAGAGUUUUGACCGAUCAAAAUCGUCAAACUUCCACUUGGAAACCGCCGUGCCAUUCCUCUUCGCCGUCCCAUUCCUCUCUACCGCGCUCAUUCCUCCUCUCCGUGCCCAUUCCAGGUAUUUCGUUUUUGCUUUCUUCGGCAUGAUUUUUGUUCGUUUUUGCUAAAUACAAUUACUAUUGUUUUGGUAAUCUAGACUUAGAAAAUAU
rnacentral:lncRNA from 1 species